GGGAAAGUGGUGGCUCAGUGGUUAAGGCUUCGGGCUGUUGAUCGGAAGAUUGUGAGUUCAAAUCGCAGCAUCUCCA